GAUGAAGAACGUAGCAAAAUGCGAUAAGUAAUGUGAAUUGCAGAAUUCAGUGAAUCAUCGAAUCUUUGAACGCACAUUGCGCCCGCCAGUAUUCUGGCGGGCAUGCCUGUUCGAGCGUCAUUUCAACCCUCAAGCACAGCUUGGUGUUGGGACUCGCGUUAAUUCGCGUUCCCCAAAUUGAUUGGCGGUCACGUCGAGCUUCCAUAGCGUAGUAGUAAAACCCUCGUUACUGGUAAUCGUCGCGGCCACGCCGUUAAACCCCAACUUCUGAAUGUUGACCUCGGAUCAGGUAGGAAUACCCGCUGAAUUUAAGCAUAUCAAUAAGCGGAGGA
rnacentral:misc_RNA from 1 species